UCAAUCGUUCUCUAGGGUUCCGCGAAAGAUGAUAUUUCAGUCGGUCAGGUCCAAGAGAGAACGCACAGCUGAGCUGUGUACACGGAGGGAUAAAAGCCCGGGAGGA
rnacentral:sRNA from 1 species